rnacentral:lncRNA from 1 species
UCCUGCCUCCUCCAGGCUGGUAGGAAUUAUUUCGCCAAUCCGGUCCUGCCUCCGCCAGACACCACUUCUCAGUCGUUGCCGCCCAUCACCACCUCUCCUCAGCCCACGUCAUCUAUUCCAGCUUCCCCCGCACCCGAGCCGAAGAUAUACAUUCCCAAGGUGGUUGAUCAAGACUACCAACUCGAGCUUGAACAACACCCGGAUGGCCAAGGAAUUAACUCGAGUCAUGGUGUGCUUCCCGAGGAUAAAAAAUCAUUCAGAA